GUCCUGAACGUAGUGUUCAAUCGAUUAAAUUAUUCAUUCUGAGAUUGCACCUUCCAAUAAAAAGAUAAAUAUGACGGAAAAAUAAAAUUCAAGUUGAGUAAUGCAGCAGAGCUUUACUUAUAUGUCAGAUCGCCAUGCUAAAUUACAAGACUUAAAGUAAGAACAAGAGCUUAAUGCAGCAGAUAAGCUCAGCAUUUUCAUAAAGAAGAAACACAAUGGUUCAAAAGGCACCCAGCCAGGGAAUGUGAAAGUCAUAUACUAAUUCGGUCCCCUCACUCGGGGUUAGCUAUUUUCACAUUCAAAUCUUCAGCAUUCUCCUUCAGCUUCCGCAUAUGUCAUUUUCAUGCAAUUAGCUUGCAGAUACGUUAUAAUACAAGUAAUUGCCAUUUCCAUCGCCAGUUUCAAGACCUAAAACCAAUUGCAUAGCUCUAAAUUCGACAAACAACAUAAUUCUGAAAACUUAAAAUCCUAGCCAUUGACAUCCGACAACACAUAAGUAAUCAUUUCAAAGCUAUCUUUAUUCAAAUUCAAUCCCCCAAUAGAAUUUACAUUAUUGAAAUAAAAAAAAAAAGGCCCUCAAAACCAACCAACCUUGGAUGUUGUGUAUCCUGCCGC
rnacentral:misc_RNA from 1 species